rnacentral:rRNA from 1 species
GCUUGUCUCAAAGAUUAAGCCAUGCAUGUCUCAGUAUAAGUUCCUGUACGGCGAAACUGCGAAUGGCUCAUUAAAACAGUUAUAGUUUAUUUGAUGGUCGUUCCUUACAUGGAUAACUGUGGUAAUUCUAGAGCUAAUACAUGCACCCAUGCCCGACUUUGUGGAAGGGUUGUGUUUAUUAGUUACAGAACCAAUGCGGGGCAACCCGGAUUCUGGUGAUUCAUAAUAAUUAUCGGAUCGAUCGUAUGAUCGAUGCAUCAUUCAAGUUUCUGCCCUAUCAGCUUUGGAUGGUAGGGUAUUGGCCUACCAUGGCAUUAACGGGUAACGGAGAAUUAGGGUUCGAUUCCGGAGAGGGAGCCUGAGAAAUGGCUACCACAUCCAAGGAAGGCAGCAGG